rnacentral:rRNA from 1 species
GUGGACGCCAGUCUGCAUGGAGCCGACCUUGAAAUACCACCCUUUAAUGUUUGAUGUUCUAACGUGGACCCGUAAUCCGGGUUGCGGACAGUGUCUGGUGGGUAGUUUGACUGGGGCGGUCUCCUCCUAAAGAGUAACGGAGGAGCACGAAGGUUGGCUAAUCCUGGUCGGACAUCAGGAGGUUAGUGCAAUGGCAUAAGCCAGCUUGACUGCGAGCGUGACGGCGCGAGCAGGUGCGAAAGCAGGUCAUAGUGAUCCGGUGGUUCUGAAUGGAAGGGCCAUCGCUCAACGGAUAAAAGGUACUCCGGGGAUAACAGGCUGAUACCGCCCAAGAGUUCAUAUCGACGGCGGUGUUUGGCACCUCGAUGUCGGCUCAUCACAUCCUGGGGCUGAAGUAGGUCCCAAGGGUAUGGCUGUUCGCCAUUUAAAGUGGUACGCGAGCUGGGUUUAGAACGUCGUGAGACAGUUCGGUCCCUAUCUGCCGUGGGCGCUGGAGAACUGAGGGGGGCUGCUCCUAGUACGAGAGGACCGGAGUGGACGCAUCACUGGUGUUCGGGUUGUCAUGCCAAUGGCACUGCCCGGUAGCUAAAUGCGGAAGAGAUAAGUGCUGAAAGCAUCUAAGCACGAAACUUGCCCCGAGAUGAGUUCUCCCUGAGACUUAGAGUCUCCUGAAGGAAC